CAGGUAUGAAACUCUGCAGUCAACACAGGUUUUUAGAGGUCUGCAAGUACAGAGUUCUAAAUUGUGAAACAAAGCCUCUAACCAGAUCACAGUGUGUGUGUGUGUUAUGCUGUGCUGAGAUAUUGCUGUGACAUAUGGUGCAUUUAGGUCCACAACCUGGUAUUAUAUGAGUUGACAACUGUACAAGACAUCCUAUUGAAGACAGUUCUGAGUGAGCAACAGCCCAAGACACCUUGUUAAUGCUGCCCUGUUAUCUACAUACAAGUCAAGUAUCCAUCAAAGAUUGGCCAUGGUGUUUACAGAACUGAAAGCCAAGCUGUGAUUUUUGAAAAUUUAUUAUAAAGUUCUAAAUGGAAAUACAAUUUGAAAAGCACAGACAACUUCUUGUAUUUUUAAGCUACCACUUAACCAUAGUGUUAAUUGAUUGAUUACAGACAUAAAUGUAUGCCGUGAAGUUCAGUUUAAAAUGACUAAAUAUAAACGCUGUAACAGGAGGAUUGAUCAAUAGCUGAAAGGUCAAGCUCUAAGGCCAUUAUUCACAAGCCGAAUGCUUUUGUGUCUCUGAAUCUCGUAUAGGGAGAAGAUGUCAAAAGGUAGUAUUUAUGCCCAACUUUGA